rnacentral:rRNA from 1 species
AUACGUAGGGGGCGAGCGUUGUCCGGAAUGAUUGGGCGUAAAGGGCGCGUAGGCGGCGCGGUAAGUCUGGAGUGAAAGUCCUGUUUUUAAGAUGGGAAUUGCUUUGGAUACUGUCGGGCUUGAGUGCAGGAGAGGUAAGUGGAAUUCCCAGUGUAGCGGUGAAAUGGGUAGAGAUUGGGAGGAACACCAGUGGCGAAGGCGACUUACUGGACUGUAGCUGCCGCUGAGGCGCAAAAGUGUGGGGAGUAAACAGGAUUAGGUACCCUGGUAGUCCACUCCGUAAACGAUGAAUGGUAGGUGUAAGAGGUAUCGACCCCUUGUGUGCCGUAGUCAACACAAUAAGCAUUCCGCCUGGGGAGUACGGCCGCAAGGUUGAAACUUAAAGGAAUUGACGGGG